rnacentral:rRNA from 1 species
UGGAACCAUGUGGUUUAAUUCGGAAGCAACCGCGAAGACCCUUACCAGGUCUUGACAUCCCCUGACAACCCAAGAGAUUGGGCGUUCCCCCUUCGGGGGGACAGGGUGACAGGUGGUGCAUGGUUGUCGUCAGCUCGUGUCGUGAGAUAUUGGGUUAAGUCCCGCAACGAGCGCAACCCUCGCCUCUAGUUGCCAGCAUUCGGUUGGGCACUCUAGAGGGACUGCCGGCGACAAGUCGGAGGAAGGUGGGGAUGACGUCAAAUCAUCAUGCCCCUUAUGACCUGGGCUACACACGUGCUACAAUGGGCGGUACAAAGGGCUGCGAACCCGCGAGGGGGAGCGAAUCCCAAAAAGCCGCUCUCAGUUCGGAUUGCAGGCUGCAACUCGCCUGCAUGAAGCCGGAAUCGCUAGUAAUCGCGGAUCAGCAUGCCGCGGUGAAUACGUUCCCGGGCCUUGUACACACCGCCCGUCACACCACGAGAGCUUGCAACACCCGAAGUCGGUGAGGCAACCCGUUUCGGGAGCCAGCCGCCGAAGGUGGGGCAAGUGAUUGGGGUGAAGUCGUAACAAGGUAACCGUA